AGGGCGCAGGGUGGAUGCCUUGGCACUAAGAGCCGAUGAAAGACGUGAUAAGCUGCGAAAAGCUUCGGGGAGGAGCACAUAUCCAAUGAUCCGGAGAUAUCUGAAUGGGGAAACCCGGCAGAGGAAACCUCUGUCAGCGUGCAGUGAAUACAUAGCUGUACGUGGGGAACCCGGGGAACUGAAACAUCUAAGUACCCGGAGGAAGAGAAAGAAAAUUUAUCGAUUUCCAAAGUAGCGGCGAGCGAAAUGGAAAGAGCCCAAACCGUGAUGCGUGCAUCGCGGGGUUCGGACUGCGUUGUGGCAGACGUAAGAUAGGAGAACGGACUGGGAAGUCCGGCCGGAGAGAGUGAAAGCCUCGUAUCCGAAAUCCCAAGUCGCCUAGCAGGAUCCAGAGUAGGACGAGACACGAGAAACCUUGUCUGAACGAGCGGGGACCACCCCGUAAGGCUAAAUACUUCUUAGUGACCGAUAGCGCAUAGUACUGUGAAGGAAAGGUGAAAAGUACCCCGGGAGGGGAGUGAAAGAGAACCUGAAACCCUGUGUCUACAAGCUGUGGGACCUCUUUAUAUGAGGGACUGCGUACUUUUUGUAGAACGGUCCGGCGAGUUGUGCGUACUGGCGAGGUUAAGGACUUAAGGUCUGGAGCCGAAGUGAAAGCAAGCGUUAAUAGCGCGUCAAGUCAGUGAGUGCAGACCCGAAACCGGGUGACCUAUCCAUGUCCAGGUUGAAGCUUCCGUAAGAGGAAGUGGAGGACCGAACCCACAUCCGUUGAAAAGGGUGGGGAUGAGGUGUGGAUAGCGGAGAAAUUCCAAUCGAACCCGGAGAUAGCUGGUUCUCCUCGAAAUAGCUUUAGGGCUAGCCUCAUGAGAGUCUUAUGGAGGUAGAGCACUGAAUUGCCUAGGGGGCGUCAAAGCUUACCAAAGCAUAUCAAACUCCGAAUGCCAUCAAGAUGAUUCAUGGGAGUCAGACCAUACGAGAUAAGUUGGAUGGUCAAAAGGGAAAGAGCCCAGACCUACAGCUAAGGUCCCAAAGUGCGUGUUAAGUGGAAAAGGAUGUGGGGAUUCUAAGACAACUAGGACGUUGGCUUAGAAGCAGCCAUUCAUUGAAAGAGUGCGUAAUAGCUCACUAGUCGAGAGUCCCUGCGCCGAAAAUGUCCGGGGCUGAAACACGACACCGAAGCUUAGGAAUGUGUAAACAUUGGUAGAGGAGCAUUGCUAGCGGGAUGAAGCCAUACCGUAAGGAGUGGUGGACUGCUAGGAAGAGAGAAUGCCGGAAUGAGUAGCGAGAUGAAGGUGAGAAUCCUUCAGGCCGAAUAUCUAAGGUUUCCAGAGUAAAGCUGAUCUGCUCUGGGUAAGUCGGGACCUAAGGCGAGGUCGAAAGACGUAGUCGAUGGAUAACAGGUUGAAAUUCCUGUACCGCAUAUAAACAGAACUGUGGGGACACAGACAGGGAAUGGAAUCCGGGAAUGGAAAUCCCGGUGCAAGCGAGGUAGGAGUGCUGUUGGCAAAUCCGCAGCACGAUCUGAAGACGUGACGCGUACCGAACAUAAGUAGGGAAGUCCAGGCCCCUGGCUGUCAAGAAAAGCCGCUAUCGUUUUAUAUGUGCCCGUACCGCAAACCGACACAGGUGGAUGAGGAGAGAAUCCUAAGGCCGACGGGAGAAGUAUUGUUAAGGAACUCGGCAAAAUGACUCCGUAACUUCGGGAGAAGGAGUGCCAUGUAAAAGUGGCCGCAGAGAAUUGGCCCAAGCAACUGUUUAGCAAAAACACAGGUCUAUGCAAAACCGAAAGGUGAGGUAUAUGGGCUGACGCCUGCCCGGUGCUGGAAGGUUAAGGGGAGAGGUUAGCCGUAAGGCGAAGCUUUGAACUUAAGCCCCAGUAAACGGCGGCCGUAACUAUAACGGUCCUAAGGUAGCGAAAUUCCUUGUCGGGUAAGUUCCGACCCGCACGAAAGGCGUAAUGAUUUGGGCACUGUCUCAACGAUACACCCGGUGAAAUUGAAAUACCAGUGAAGAUGCUGGUUACCUGCGCCAGGACGGAAAGACCCCAUGGAGCUUUACUCCAGUUUGAUACUGGGAUUCGGCAUGGUAUGUACAGGAUAGGUGGGAGACUGAGAAGGUAUGACGUCAGUUGUACCGGAGUCGCUGUUGGGAUACCACCCUUACCAUGUUGGAUUUCUAACCUGUGGCCGUAAGCCGGUCAGGGGACAAUGUCAGGCGGGGAGUUUGACUGGGGCGGUCGCCUCCGAAAGGGUAUCGGAGGCGCUCAAAGGU
rnacentral:rRNA from 1 species